rnacentral:rRNA from 1 species
GAACCUGCCCAGUGAACAGUUUAACGGCCGCGGUACCCUGACCGUGCAAAGGUAGCAUAAUCAUUUGCCUUAUAAUUGAAGGCUUGUAUGAAUGGUCUGACGAAAGCAAUACUGUCUCUUCUUUAUUAUCUAGAAAUUAACCUAUGGGUGAAGAGGCCUAUAUUAUAUUGAAGGACAAGAAGACCCUGUCGAGCUUUAGAGUAAAGCAGGAAUAUAAGUAUUAAAAAAAAUCAAUGACUACAUAACUCUUUAGUUGGGGCGACUAAGGAACAAAUAAAGCUUCUUUUAGUUUUUUAGAUCAAUAAAUUUAGAUCCAGCAAAGCUGAUUAAAAGAAUUAGUUACCGCAGGGAUAACAGCAUAAUCUCUCUUGAGAGACCUAAUCGAAAGAGGGGGUUGUGACCUCGAUGUUGGACUAAAAUAUCCUGAAGAUGCAGACGUCUUCGAAGGUUG